CAGUCGGCGGAGGAAAAGAAACUAACCAGGAUUCCCCUAGUAGCGGCGAGCGAAGCGGGAAGAGCCCAACUUGAAAAUCUGCGGCCCUCGGCCGUCGAAUUGUAGUCUAUAGAAGCGCUCUCUGUGACAGGUCGUGCCCAAGUGCCCUGGAAGGGGCCGUCGAAGAGGGUGAGAACCCCGUCGGCGCGUGCUGUUGUCGCUCCACGAGACGUUCUCGCAGAGUCGGGUUGCUUGGGAAUGCAGCCCAAAUCAGGUGGUAAAUCCCAUCUAAGGCUAAAUACUGGCGGGAGACCGAUAGCGAACAAGUACCGUGAGGGAAAGAUGAAAAGAACUUUGAAAAGAGAGUUAAAAAGUACUUGAAAUUGUUGAGGGGGAAGGGAACGGAAGCUGCGGGUGCGCCCAGGCUCACGCCGGCCUCACGGCCGACUGUAUGCUCUGGGUGCUGGUCAGCAUCGAGCUGGUGGGCGGGACAAGUGCGGUGUUUGAUACACCGUCCCUGCCGCCUGACGGCUCGAGGCAGCAAAGGGUGCUCUUUGAGUCCAUUCGUGGAACUGCACCCUCGCGAUGCUGGCGGAAGGCUUCCGUUCUGCCC
rnacentral:rRNA from 1 species